rnacentral:rRNA from 1 species
GAGUUUGAUCGUGGCUCAGAUUGAACGCUGGCGGCAUGCCUUACACAUGCAAGUCGAACGGCAGCAUGAUCUAGCUUGCUAGAUUGAUGGCGAGUGGCGAACGGGUGAGUAAUACAUCGGAACGUGCCCUGUAGUGGGGGAUAACUAGUCGAAAGAUUAGCUAAUACCGCAUACGACCUGAGGGUGAAAGUGGGGGACCGCAAGGCCUCAUGCUAUAGGAGCGGCCGAUGUCCGAUUAGCUAGUUGGUGGGGUAAAGGCCCACCAAGGCGACGAUCAGUAGCUGGUCUGAGAGGACGAUCAGCCACACUGGGACUGAGACACGGCCCAGACUCCUACGGGAGGCAGCAGUGGGGAAUUUUGGACAAUGGGCGAAAGCCUGAUCCAGCAAUGCCGCGUGUGUGAAGAAGG